GUGUGAUUGAAGUGCAUCUUUGCAACAUGAAGAAAAUGGAGACAGGCUGGUGAUUGUUCUGGAAUGACUCUAGAUCUGAAACUAUUGCUUUGCUGAAAACAUCUGGCUGCCAGUCUAGAAUGUGACUGUUGAGAUUCUCAAUCCACUGUGGUGAUGCUAUUUGG